UUUUUUUUUUCCUUUUCAUUUUCUGACGUUUGUAGGGCAUUGAGCAUGUUUCUGGGGUGGGUUGGGGAGAUCAGAAUCUGCUGCACCAUAUAUAUCUUUGGUGCAGCAGAACUAUAUACACACACACACACACAUCUCUGUGUGUGUGUGUGUGUGUGUGUGUAGAAAUAUAUAUAUUUCUUGGCUGGCUUCUUCUCACUUCUACCCUACAGUCUCCCACCUACGAGGCUGCCUUGCCCAACAGCUUCUCACCUCUCAAGCCAACAGGCUACCAGGUGGGAAUAUAGCAGCUGAGGAGCUCCAUGUUCUUUCAAGAACUUGUAGAGGAAAUUCUCAAAGCCAAACUCUCAAAGAAUCAGUUCAAAUAGGAUGGGCAGGGAAGCAGGUGGUAUGGGAGCCCAGGGAGAAAUGUCCUGGAGUGUACUGUUUGGAAAAGAUGCCAGGUGACCCUUCCCAGGUGAAGGAGGAGGUGACAGUGGCUUUCAGAUAAUGGGCCCCAGGCUUCUGUUCCCUGCUGCCCUCUGCCCUCUGAUCUUGGGAUUUCUCUAGGUAGGGCUGGGACCACCUGCAGAUGGUGGAGGCCCUGCAUGUCUGGAAAAGGAAAUGAGACUGGCCCUGGCCACUAGGUGUGGCUGCAAGAUGCUGCAGCUGAGAGCCCUGUAUUGGACAUAGACUGGAAGAGUCUACUCUUCCAGUAGCACAUCCCUGGAUGUCCUGUGGAAAGGCUGGGGCUGUUGACACCUAUGGGUCCAGGAAGCCCCUCCUCUGGAAGCAGCAGCUGGAGGAGCAGAGAAAUCGUUGCUUUCUCUGCCUCAGGGUUCUGAAGGUUGGGCAAUUUCUCUAUUUUGGGCAACUCUCCAGGAUAUUUACACAGUCUGUACUUCAGCUACAAUUCUAACCAGAGAAACCCUUACUCUAGAGCAAAUUUUAAAGCAACUUAAUUUGCUCUUACCUUGAUGUCCCAUAUCAUUUAUCUUGGCUUUCCCCAAACCAUCUUGCCUUUGCCUUGAGACUGACAUGCGACUGGCUUGCACAAAGUUCCUGUCCACAGGAAAAAUGACAGGUAGCAUGGACAGGUCUGGGAGCAGACAUACCUGCCUCUCAUUUGAUUACAUCUUGACCAAUGGAAUCCACAGGAGAAGCAUGUGGCUAGCCAGCCUGACUGGCUUGUGUUGAGCUCUUGGAGACCCAAACUUUGUAAGUUGGUGUAUACAUAAGAACACAGCAGAGGUAUCACUUCUAGCAUUUGCCACAGUUUCCAGUCUCUGAAUAACACUUUCAGAUACAUAAGGUUGGGUGGUUGCAGGGCUGGAAGGGAUGAUGGCUACAGAGUUGCCUCUCAUCUGCCUCUGUUUGCAAGGCGGGGACGCACCUGUGUGGUACCUUUUGGUGUGGUACCUUUUGGUGUGGUAAUGAGGUAGAAGACCUUGGUUAAAGACACAGGUUAAAGUCAACCAAGGGAAAGACUGUUAGGGCAGAACAUGACAGGUUUCCAUCAGGGAACUUCUGGUUGUCCUCUCUGUGGAUGGCACCACUUUACCAGCAUCAGUAUACAACAGGAGUCUUGCUGUUUAGCACCUAUGUUGGGGCACCAGGUGGAGCUGAACCUUUGGCACUCACAGCCACACCCUGAGUCGUGUGUUAGAUUUCCUGGUGUGAUCCAGAGGCCCAGGCAGACACUGUGCUCCAGGAUGGCAUCCAAGGGCUGAGCCAUCACCUCUUGGGGCAGCUUCUUUACUUUACUCACACAGGAAUGGUUUCUUUUUUUCUUUCAAAAAUGGAAUCACACAGUGCACUUUGUCU
rnacentral:lncRNA from 1 species